rnacentral:rRNA from 1 species
UAGUGAGUUUGAUCCUGGCUCAGGAUGAACGCUGGCGGUCUGCUUAACACAUGCAAGUCGAACGCAAGUAGAAAUACUUGAGUGGCGGACGGGUGAGUAACGCGUGAGAAUCUGCCUUCUGGUCGGGGACAACCACUGGAAACCGGUGGCUAAUACCGGAUAUGCCUAUGGGUGAAAGAUUAAUUGCCCAGAAGAAGAGCGUCGCGUCUGAUUAGCUAGUUGGAGAGGUAAA